rnacentral:rRNA from 1 species
UACAGAGGAGCCAAGCGUUGUCCGGAUUGACUGGGCGUAAAGCGCACGCAGGCGGUUUGGCGCGUGGGGUGUGAAAUCUGGCCGCUUAACGGCCAGGCGCCAUCCCAUACGGCCGGACUGGAGGGCUGCAGAGGUCGAUGGAAUUGCCGGUGUAGUGGUGAAAUGCGCAGAUAUCAGGAGGAACACCGGUGGCGAAGGCGGAUCUCUGGGCCUUGCCUGACGCUGAGGCGCGAAAGCUAGGGGAGCAAACAGG